UCUCCUAUAGCUCAGUUGGUAGAGCGUGCGGCUGUUAAGCUCAAGGUCGCUGGUUCAAAUCCAGCUGGGAGAG
rnacentral:tRNA from 1 species